CAGCCGCCGCGGUAAAACGGAGGGUGCGAGCGUUAAUCGGAAUAACUGGGCGUAAAGGGCACGCAGGCGGUGACUUAAGUGAGGUGUGAAAGCCCCGGGCUUAACCUGGGAAUUGCAUUUCAUACUGGGUCGCUAGAGUACUUUAGGGAGGGGUAGAAUUCCACGUGUAGCGGUGAAAUGCGUAGAGAUGUGGAGGAAUACCGAAGGCGAAGGCAGCCCCUUGGGAAUGUACUGACGCUCAUGUGCGAAAGCGUGGGGAGCAAACAGGAUUAGAUACCCCAGUAGUCCCUGUCUCUUAUAC
rnacentral:rRNA from 1 species